GGUAGGUGACCUGCGGAGGNCAUUGUCGAGACCAAAAGAGAUGGGGAGAUUUAGAGAACUCAUGAACCAAGUUGUGGCAGCCCCUGUCACGAAAAAAACAUCCAACAAUUGCCUCAUCUCCACGUGAGCAACGGUGACGGUUGGAUGAAACCCGAGCUAGCGCAAUUUCGCGCCAAGGGAAUGCGAAAAACACGAGCCCCAACAGGUUUGGUGGCAUGGAUUAUAUAUGACUCUCGGCAACGGAUAUCUCGGCUCUCGCAUCGAUGAAGAGCGCAGCGAAAUGCGAUACGUGGUGCGAAUUGCAGAAUCCCGUGAACCAUCAAGUCUUUGAACGCAAGUUGCGCCCGAGGCCAAUCGGCCAAGGGCACGUCUGCCUGGGCGUCAAGCGUUGCGUCGCUUCCUGCCAUCACCUCCCACCAAAGGGUGUGUUGGUGUAGGCUCGAAUGUGAAGAGUGGUUCGCCGUGCCCAUUGGUGCGGCGGACUGAAGAGUGGGUUGUUGUCCUCAUGGCCACGAUCGACAAGGGGUGGACGAAAGCCACGAGCACGGCCAAACACUGUCUCAUGAUGGCCUGAGGAAGCUUAUAAAUCCCUGGUGAACCCAAACCCACAUGUCGCAGCGCAGGCGGCGGCAUGGAUUGCGACCCCAGGAUAGGCGGGAUCACCCGCCGAGUUUAAGCAUAUCAAUAAGCGGAGGAAAAA
rnacentral:rRNA from 1 species